ensembl:lncRNA
GCAGAGACACUGAGGUGGGGUGGAUCCAUGGAGGAGGCAGAGACACUGAGGUGGGAUGGAUCCAUGGAGGAGGCAGAGACACUGAGGUGGGGUGGAUCCAUGGAGGAGGCAGAGACACCGAGGUGGGGUGAAUCCAUGGAGGAGGCAGAGACACUGAGGUGGAUCCAUGGAGGAGGCAGAGACACCGAGGUGGGGUGGAUCCAUGGAGGAGGCGUGCAGAGACACUGAGGUGGGUGGAUCCAUGGAGGAGGCAGAGACACUGAGGUGGGAUGGAUCCAUGGAGGAGGCAGAGACACUGAGGUGGGGUGGAUCCAUGGAGGAGGCAGAGACACCGAGGUGGGGUGGAUCCAUGGAGGAGGCAGAGACACUGAGGUGGAUCCAUGGAGGAGGCAGAGACACCGAGGUGGGGUGGAUCCAUGGAGGAGGCGUGCAGAGACACUGAGGUGGGUGGAUCCAUGGAGGAGGCGUGCAGAGACACUGAGGUGGGUGGAUCCAUGGAGGAGGCGUGCAGAGACACUGAGGUGGGGUGGAUCCAUGGAGGAGGCAGAGACACCGAGGUGGGGUGGAUCCAUGGAGGAGGCAGAGACACUGAGGUGGAUCCAUGGAGGAGGCAGAGACACCGAGGUGGGGUGGAUCCAUGGAGGAGGCGUGCAGAGACACUGAGGUGGGUGGAUCCAUGGAGGAGGCGUGCAGAGACACUGAGGUGGGGUGGAUCCAUGGAGGAGGUGUGCAGAGACACCGAAGUGGGGUGGAUCCAUGGAGGAGGCGUGCAGAGACACUGAGGUGGGUGGAUCCAUGGAGGAGGCAGAGACACCGAGGUGGGUGGAUCCACGGUUGGAUACGACAAGCAGGAUGAUAUUUACUCCCGUUGCCUGGCCUGGGAGGAUAUCGCUUGUGAUGUGGAUGACGUGAUGUGGAUGAGGUGAUGUGGAUGGGGUGAUGUGGAUGAGAUGAUGUGGCUGGGAUGAUGUGGAUGAGGUGAUGUGGAUGAGAUGUUGUGGAUGAUGUGAUGUGGAUGAGGUGAUGUGGAUGAGGUGAUGUGGAUGAGAUGAUGUGGCUGGGAUGAUGUGGAUGAGGUGAUGUGGAUGAGAUGUUGUGGAUGAUGUGAUGUGGAUGAGGUGAUGUGGAUGAGGUGAUGUGGA